rnacentral:lncRNA from 1 species
UUCCACGAUGAACGGAAACCUCUGAAACCACAAACAAAGCAAACCUUUGUCCAUCAAGUUGUUUCUGUCAGGGGGUUCCCCACACGGUCACCAAGUCUACCAUAUAAGGGUCUUACUAUUUGGCCCUGACUGGCCCGGAACUCACUCUGUAAACCAGGCUGUCCUCAAAGUCGUUGGGAUCCACCUGAUUGAAGGCAUAUAUGCCACCCCACUCGUCAAGGGUGACCUUCGACAAUGUCACACUGACAAGGCUCCACAGGACAGGUGGCUGGGCACCACGUUUUUAUUUGUUCAUCCUGUGAUGGGCAGGACAUUUCUUUACUCUGGGCUGUGACUAUGAUGCUGCUGAAGACACAGACACUGUAGUGACUUUUUUGUCACAUACUCCAGCUAGAUUAAUUGAGCUGGGACUGUCAGCCACUUCACACAAGGGCAGGACAACAAGAUGUACAACACCCAGCUCCUUCUCAUGCCUGCCUGGACACUGACAUGCUUCCUGCCUUCAUGGACUGACCCUCUGAACCUGAUUUAUGUGCCUGUUUCUGUACACACACGGAAGUUGGGGGCAACUUGCAGAAAUCGGUUCUCUCCUUCCACGUGUGGCGUCCCCAGAGAUGAGAAGACUCAAGUCAUCAGACUAGGAAACUAGGCAGCUAGCAUCCUUGCCCAUUGAGACAUCUUAUAAGCCCAUAGGUACUAGUUUCAGUGUUUAUUUUUCCAAUAAAUAUGCUAAGAUGUUGGUGGUCAGGCAUGCUUGACAGGCAUGCUGUCAGACCCUCUACCUGGUGCCUGGCUGUCUUGCAUGGAAGACUCUCCAGCAAGAAUCCAGCUAGGCAAACCAUCAGGACAGCCUGGCUUAUCUGGACAUGCCGCAUGCAGACAGCAUAGAGGAACUGUACAGUAACCAGGGCUGCUUGCCACUGAAGCAUUAACUCUGGCUUCUGAAUGCCCUCCCCCACUUGCCAUUGGUUAAGAAGGCUCACCCUAGAUCUCGCAGCCAACGGCAACCUUGGUAAAGUUUACACCCAAGCCAAAGAGGGUCUACUUCUCCCCUCCCUCCUUCCCUUCCUCCAUGGCUUAGCAGAUGCUUCGGAUCACCUUUAAGCAGCCUCCUUUCUGGCUAAGUAAAGUGGCCAUUUAGCCCACUUUAUGAUCCUGCCUGGAGAUGUUGCUGUGCUUCCCCGCUGGUGGUUCAACUUCAGCACCAAUAAAAAGGAUUUGCCUGCGUGUAUGCCUGUGUACCAUAUGCACACCUGUUGCCUGCCGAGACCAAGAGAGGACAUAGCAUCCCCUGGGAACAGAGUUACAGGCUCUUCGCAGGACCUCCUGUGUCGCUGCUUGCCUAAAUCCACCUCAGGGAAGAGUGGAUGACACUUGGCUGGUGCCGGAACUCUUUUGCCUUCCACAAGACUAUGAUCCCACAGUCUAUUUCUCCUGCUAAGCAAAUCAUGAAGCCCAAUGCAAAGCACUUAAGAGCCGGGGUUGGAGAGAUGGCUCAGCGGGAAUGAAAACUAAUGCCCUACCUACUGCUGAAGGCACCGCACACUUCAGAAAUAAGACCCAGAGACCCCUGAGGUGGAACGGACCUGAAUGUCUCCUCCAUGAAGACUAGCUUUUAUGGUUCCAGGAGAUGACAGAAGCUUCCAAAAGAGGGCAGCAACCAACAGUUCUGCCCAGCUAUGAUGCCCAUGAACCACAGCGAUGACUUAUCAUGGCAAAGUAACUGUAUGAGUAUUGGGUCAACCUGCUGCAAAGGUCUAAGUCUGACAUUACCGGAAAGCCAGAGCUCGGGGGAAAAAAAUGGUGGACUCCCUUUUUCAGCAGGGCUUCUCCUUCUCUGACCUUGUCUGGGGAGCUCAGAGCUCCCACAGCCUCUACCUUCGGAGUAUCAUGUAGCCUUGGUUAGAUUACAGGUGUAGCUCCCCCCAUCCCAUAGAAACCCUUGCAGCCAGUACCUGAGAUUCCUGGAAUGCCUCCCCAUGCUAAUGAGGUAUCUCAGGACUUUGGCCUUCAGCCAAUGACCUUUGAAUAUUGCUAUCUCCUCCCCCAAAACUAUAUAACCCUAGAUUCACCCCAAUAAAGUCCAUCUCUCUUCCAA